rnacentral:ncRNA from 1 species
AUAUUGUUUGAUUCUUGCUACCAAUUUAAUCCGCUUAUAAAAUAAUACAUGCAAGUUACCGCGCACCCGUGAACAUAGCACCUAUAUUCUAAAAGAACAGAACAUCUAUUAUAAGAAAUAUCAAACAAUUCACUUCACGCCUGCAGUACAGUACCCUGUAUAAAUAACAACCGUUAGUAACGGACUUUAAGCAUAAGUAUCGGUCAAAUUCGUGCCAGCAACCGCGGUUAAACGAUAAAUACAAGUUAAAUAUAAACGGGACUGUCAUGACAUUAUAUCAAAACAAUGUGGUACAAUACUCACCCUCAUCUCCCCCACAAAUGUCUAUUAGUAACGAAAGGAUGGACCAAAACAAGGAUUAGAUACCCUUCUAUCCCAUCCAAUAAAAUAACAGCCCGGGCAAUACGGUCACACGACUAAAACCCAAAGAAAUUGGCGGCACCUCAUACUACUAGGGGAGUCUGUUUAUUAAUCGACAAUCCACGCUAAACCACACUUAAACUCGACCAAGCCUGUAUACUGCCGUCGCAAGUUGACCUUUAAAAGCGUCAACAACAAGAAUCCUCUUCUAUACGUCAGGUCAAAGUGCAGCCUACGCUUAAGUCUAAAUGGACUACAUUAAAAAUACAACUGGACCGAAAACGGCACCUUUUUCGCCAAAGUGGACUUAGUAGUAAAUUUAAUUAUAAUAUAAAAAAUUGAACCGUAAUCUGUAGUGUGCACACAUCGCCCGUCACUCUCGCCGAAAGGGGAGAUAAGUCGUAACAAAGUAGGCGUAACUGAAGUUGUGCCUUCAAGACA